CCCUCUGCAAACGAAUAGAAACGUUGCCAAAGGCCCAAAGCAAAGAGCAAAAAAAGAAGUAAACGAGGUUGAGAUAUGGGAGACAAUGAUAGCUGGUAACCAUGGCCCUUGAUAUUCAGUGCAAAAUAGCGUUCAGAUGGAGACCCAAUUCUGAUUCAGGUAACAACAGUCCCCUCAUCUUCCCUAAAACCACACUGACAAAACAAUCCUUCAAAUUCACAUUCGUCACCAAUCAAACUUGUUUAUCAUCUCUCCACCACUCAUCACCACCACCACCUUCAAAUGGCACAAGGCCCACUUCCCUUCUUGUUGAAAAGUACAAUUACAAUGAGCACCAGAGGCUUAGAGAUUUACUUGAAAAGCUCAGCAACACCAACUCAUGCCCUCUACAAAUACUCACAGAUUAUGGGGAUUGGACUCAAGACCAGUUCUGGGCUGUUGUCAAAUUUCUUAUACAUGCCUCUAGAUCUCUUGAAGUUCUUCAGGUGUUUGAUAUGUGGAAGAACAUUGAGAAAUUGCGGAUUAAUGAAUUCUACUAUGAUAAGAUAAUUGGGCUGUUAGGUGAAGAGGGCAUGCUCGAAGAAGCACUGUCAGCAUUUCAAGAGAUGAAAAGACAUGGUCUAAAACCUUCUUUGGGAUCUUACAAUGUGAUAAUUCAUGGUUUUGCAAAAAAAGGAAACUUUGAUGAUGCUUUAUUUUACCUUAAUGGGAUGAAAGAUGAUAAUUUGGCACCGGAAACUGAUAGCUAUGAUGGGUUGAUUCAAGCUUAUGGGAGAUAUAAAAUGUAUGAUGAAAUAGCUAUUUGUGUGAAGAAGAUGGAAUUGGAUGGUUGUUCGCCUGACCACAUUACGUAUAAUUUGCUUAUCCGAGAGUUUUCGCAAGCUGGGUUGCUCAAAAGAAUGGAAAGAGUGUGUCAAACAAUGCUUUCAAAGAAGAUGUAUUUACAGUCAACUACCUUAGUUGCAAUGCUUGAGGCUUAUGCAAGAUUUGGGAUUUUGGAUAAGAUGGAAAAGGUUUAUAGAAGAGUUUUGAACUCAAAAAACCCUUUAAAAGAUGAUUUGAUAAGGAAAUUGGCUGAAAUUUAUAUUGAUAACUAUAUGUUUUCAAGAUUAGAUGACUUGGGACUUAAUGUUUCAUCAAGGUUUGGCGCAACUGAUCUUGUUUGGUGUCUGCGUCUCCUUUCUCAUGCUUGUCUUUUAAGCCGAAAAGGUAUGUAUUCCAUUGUUCAGGAGAUGCAAGAAGCGAAAGUUUCUUGGAAUGUAACUGUUGCAAAUAUUAUCAUGCUAGCUUAUUUGAAAAUGAAAGACUUCACGCGUUUGAGAGCAUUGCUCUCCCAAUUGCCACCCCAUCAUGUGAAGCCUGAUAUGGUCACAGUUGGAAUUCUAUUUGAUGCAAUUACUUUUGGUUUUGAUGGAACUGAGAUUAUUGAAGCAUGGAGAAGGAUGGGCCAUCUUUAUGGUGUUGUGGAAAUGAAUACUGAUCCUCUGGUUCUAACUGCAUUUGGAAAGGGGAGUUUCCUUAGAAAAUGUGAAGAGGUCUACUGCUCCCUUGAAACUCGAGCUAGAGAAAAGAAAACAUGGACUUAUCAUAACCUCAUUGAUUUAGUCUCAGAAUACAAUGGAAGGAAGCCAUAGUAGAAUGAAACCAAGGUGGUGGAGAGAAGCUGGGCUGUAAGGAUUUCUGAAUGAGUGAAUGUUCCCUCAAAGGCUUUACAAUAAUUUUUUCUUUUAGAGAUAAUUACAAUAUAGUGCUAACUCCACAGCUCGAACGCUUUCGCCCUAAACCCCCAAGCACUUUGUGCAUGGGGAGAUGCCGAUUCAACUACAAGGCCCUCAACACCUAACACCUUAUUCAAUACAACAAAAAGAAUCAGUGUGUGAGUUUGGAACCUGAAAUUUUCUUGUGCAAACCAACUACUUUGAAGCUGAAAUUGGAAGGUCAAAUCAAUUCCAAUUUUGAUGAAAUUUCAGUAUGUUGUUCCAGACGAAGAGAGCUUUGUGUUGACUGGUGUUGGUGCUUGAAGUUCCUCUCCAUUUGCUCAGAUGUUGAGACCCACUUGGAUCUCUUCAAGUUCCAUCGCUUGGAUAUCAGAAUCCUGAAGCAGUAAUGAAUGAGAAGUUUCCAAAACCCCAAGGAUGAUCUCCUUCUGCAUUUCAUUGAUGGCUGUUACAACCCAAGGUAAUAAAUGUGUUGUGCAUAUGUCUACCAAAAAAUUUUGUAUUUCCAUGUUACAGGACUCGGCAAAGUUUUCUUCAUGACCUCUUUAAGUAGGUACAAGGAAUGCAAAAGUUGUCUCAGGAUGUUUUUCCAGAGAUAUCUAGACAGGCUAAAACAACAUGUUUGGAUGCUUAUUGCUCUGGUUUUUCAGAGAUGUCUAAUAUCUAGACAGACAUAUCCCACCAUCUUUAGGGAAUUUUACAAUGUUAGAAUCAUUAGACCUUUCUCAAAAUAGACUCUAGGAGCAGAUUCUACCGCAACUAGCAAAACUUACUUUCUU